rnacentral:rRNA from 1 species
AGAGUUUGAUCCUGGCUCAGGAUAAACGCUGGCGGCGCACAUAAGACAUGCAAGUCGAACGAACUUAACCAUUAGUUUACUAUUGGAGCGGUUAGUGGCGGACUGGUGAGUAACACGUAAGCAACCUGCCUAUCAGAGGGGAACAACAGUUAGAAAUGACUGCUAAUACCGCAUAUGCCUUAGAAUCACAUGGUUCAAAAGGGAAAGGAGCAAUCCACUGAUAGAUGGGCUUGCGUCUGAUUAGCUAGUUGGUGGGGUAACGGCCUACCAAGGCGACGAUCAGUAGCCGAACUGAGAGGUUGAACGGCCACAUUGGGACUGAGAUACGGCCCAGACUCCUACGGGAGGCAGCAGUCGGGAAUAUUGCGCAAUGGAGGAAACUCUGACGCAGUGACGCCGCGUGCAGGAAGAAGGUUUUCGGAUUGUAAACUGCUUUAGACAGGGAAGAACAAAGACAGUACCUGUAGAAUAAGCUCCGGCUAACUACGUGCCAGCAGCCGCGGUAAUACGUAGGGAGCGAGCGUUAUCCGGAUUUAUUGGGUGUAAAGGGUGCGUAGACGGGAAGUCAAGUUAGUUGUGAAAUCCCUCGGCUUAACUGAGGAACUGCAACUAAAACUGAUUUUCUUGAGUACUGGAGAGGAAAGUGGAAUUCCUAGUGUAGCGGUGAAAUGCGUAGAUAUUAGGAGGAACACCGGUGGCGAAGGCGACUUUCUGGACAGAAACUGACGUUGAGGCACGAAAGUGUGGGGAGCAAACAGGAUUAGAUACCCUGGUAGUCCACACCGUAAACGAUGAUUACUAGGUGUGGGGGGUCUGACCCCCUCCGUGCCGGAGUUAACACAAUAAGUAAUCCACCUGGGGAGUACGGCCGCAAGGUUGAAACUCAAAGGAAUUGACGGGGGCCCGCAC